rnacentral:rRNA from 1 species
GACGAACGCUGGCGGCGUGCUUAACACAUGCAAGUCGAACGGAAAGGCCCUGCUUUUGUGGGGUGCUCGAGUGGCGAACGGGUGAGUAACACGUGAGUAACCUGCCCUUGACUUUGGGAUAACUUCAGGAAACUGGGGCUAAUACCGGAUAGGAGCUCCUGCUGCAUGGUGGGGGUUGGAAAGUUUCGGCGGUUGGGGAUGGACUCGCGGCUUAUCAGCUUGUUGGUGGGGUAGUGGCUUACCAAGGCUUUGACGGGUAGCCGGCCUGAGAGGGUGACCGGCCAAAUUGGGACUGAGAUACGGCCGAGACUCCUACGGGAGGCAGCAGUGGGGAAUAUUGCACAAUGGGAGGAAGCCUGAUGCAGAAACGCCGCGGGCGGGAUGAAGGACUUCGGGUUGUAAACCGCUUUCGACUGUGACGAAGCGUGAGUGACGGUAAUGGAUAAAGAAGCACAGGCUAACUACGUG